rnacentral:rRNA from 1 species
UAAGUGGUGGAAAUUAAACCAAAUGGGAUAUCUUUAGUAAUUGCGAAUGAACAAGGAUAUGCUUAGCUUGACAAAUGGAGCUAUUGGCUUUGAAUUGUAUUGUGGAAAUGUAUUACCAACAGAGGUGCAGGUGCCAGCCUAUUGAAAUAAAGCGUCAAUGAGGGUGAGAAUCCUGUUUGUCAUGUGCAGCCCUUUGUGCACGGUGUAUAUUUGCUGAGUCACACUCCUUGGCAUUGGAAUGCAAAGUGGGUGGUAAGUUUCAUGUAAAGGUAAACAUGCAAUUGAGACUGAUAGCACACAAGUACCAUGAGGGAAAUAUGAAAAGGACUUUGAAAAGAKAAUUAAAUGAGUUUGUAUUUGCUGAACACAAAGUAAACAGACUUGAUUUGCUUGGUGGGAGUGUUGCACUUGCUUGACAAGAGCUUUGGGCUGUGGGUGUAAUGAUUMUUUCUUUGCAUGCCAGUUUCUAUUUGUACAUCUGAUUACCUUUGCACAUGAAUGAUAAGUCUCCUGUGGGGGGUGGAYUGCAUGUGCAUGUAAUGAUUUGUGUUUUGAUAAAUGUGUCUGGUGUAUGUGUGUGUUCCUGUGCUUGGGGAUGCUUCCUUCCUUGGACUUACAAGCCCUGACACACACAUGCUGGCAAAAUGCUUCUGCUUGACCCG